GACGAACGCUGGCGGCGUGCUUAACACAUGCAAGUCGAACGGAAAGGCCCUGCUUUUGUGGGGUGCUCGAGUGGCGAACGGGUGAGUAACACGUGAGUAACCUGCCCUUGACUUUGGGAUAACUUCAGGAAACUGGGGCUAAUACCGGAUAGGAGCUCCUGCUGCAUGGUGGGGGUUGGAAAGUUUCGGCGGUUGGGGAUGGACUCGCGGCUUAUCAGCUUGUUGGUGGGGUAGUGGCUUACCAAGGCUUUGACGGGUAGCCGGCCUGAGAGGGUGACCGGCCACAUUGGGACUGAGAUACGGCCCAGACUCCUACGGGAGGCAGCAGUGGGGAAUAUUGCACAAUGGGCGGAAGCCUGAUGCAGCAACGCCGCGUGCGGGAUGACGGCCUUCGGGUUGUAAACCGCUUUCGCCUGGGACGAAGCGUGAGUGACGGUAAUGGGUAAAGAAGCACCGGCUGACUACGUG
rnacentral:rRNA from 1 species